AACUGGAUAGCUCAGCUGGUAGAGCACAAGACUCUUAAUCUUAAGGUUGUGGAUUCAAGUUCCACACUGGGCA